GUAUAAGAGACAGCAGCCGCCGCGGUAAUACGUAGGUGGCAAGCGUUAAUCGGAAUUACUGGGCGUAAAGCGGGCGCAGACGGUUACUUAAGCAGGAUGUGAAAUCCCCGGGCUCAACCUGGGAACUGCGUUCUGAACUGGGUGACUAGAGUGUGUCAGAGGGAGGUAGAAUUCCACGUGUAGCAGUGAAAUGCGUAGAGAUGUGGAGGAAUACCGAUGGUGAAGGCAGCCUCCUGGGAUAACACUGACGUUCAUGCCCGAAAGCGUGGGUAGCAAACAGGAUUAGAUACCCCCGUAGUCCCUGUCUCUUAUAC
rnacentral:rRNA from 1 species